rnacentral:rRNA from 1 species
UACGUAGGGCGCAAGCGUUGUCCGGAAUUAUUGGGCGUAAAGAGCUCGUAGGCGGUUUGUCGCGUCUGCUGUGAAAACUCGAGGCUCAACCUCGGGCUUGCAGUGGGUACGGGCAGACUAGAGUGCGGUAGGGGUGACUGGAAUUCCUGGCGUAGCGGUGGAAUGCGCAGAUAUCAGGAGGAACACCGAUGGCGAAGGCAGGUCUCUGGGCUGACACUGACGCUGAGGAGCGAAAGCGUGGGGAGCGAACAGG